UACGGAGGAUGCAAGCGUUAUCCGGAAUUAUUGGGCGUAAAGCGUCCGCAGGUGGUUUUACAAGUCUGCUGUCAAAGCGCGGAGCUUAACUUCGUAUCGGCAGUGGAAACUGUGGAACUAGAGUUUGGUAGGGGUCACGGGAAUUCCCAGUGUAGCGGUGAAAUGCGUAGAGCUCGGGAAGAACAUCGGUGGCGAAAGCGCUCUACUGGACUGCAACUGACACUCAGGGACGAAAGCUAGGGGAGCGAAUGGG
rnacentral:rRNA from 1 species